CCAAAAUAAAGCUGUCCCAUUGGCUAAAAUUCCAGUCUUAUUUUAGCCAAUGGAAUCCUGGCUUUUCAAAUACACUUAUUUUGAUUGGAUACAACCACAUGAUGCCCUCUAGAAUUUACCACCAAUUAGACACCCAGUUUGUUUAAUUUUCUUCGCGUGAGAAGCUGUGCAUAAAGAGAACCUAGAGACCCUCAGUUUUUCUCCAGUCUUUCGGCUUGGGGGGCGGGGGUGGUUCCUGUGCUGCGUAACAAGACCAGUCAAGGCUAACAAGCUGUGAACAGAGGCACGUAGAGCCCCCUUCUCAUUUUCUCUCUUAUUCUCAAGCCCUUCAGCAACUACUCCCGGCCCUGCCUGAGCCAGCCAAGUCCGCUCCCGCCCCGAAGGAGGGCUCCAAGGAGGCGGUGACCAAGGCGCCGAAGGACAGCAAGAGGCGCAAGCGCAGCCGCCGGGAGAUCGCGCCCCCCGCCCCCGCCCCCGCCCCGUGUACGUGUACAAGGUGCCUCCAAGGCUCCACGCCCAUUGCGGGGCUUGAACUCCUGACCCUGAGAUUGAGUCACAUGCUGUACCAACUGAGUGAGCCAGGUGCCAGUUUGUUUAAUUUUAAUUCUCCAAUUAGCACGGUUUAAACAUGAUUCUUUCAUACUUUCUUGCCUCCCCUCUCUUUUUACUGUUACUGUUAGUCCAGACAUCUAAGAUCGGCCUUACUUUCAGUCAGUAAUGUCUUGGACGCAUUAACUCAAAACUUGUAAUCACUACCUCUUCCAGGGCUUCUGGUGAAUAAAGAGAGACCAAAAUCUCCACUCUAGGGCUUACGUUGGGUGGUUAGUUCUCUGUGACCACUGGCGCACCUGCCUGACUCCAGAGCCUCAAGAACACUUCAGUGGCAGAUGCUGUUUUCAAAGGCCAAGUGCAUAUUACACUCUUCUCUGACAGUCCUUUAUCUUGGUCCAGAAUUUGUUUUUUUUUUUUUAACUCUAACUCACUUUUCUUCCUGAGCUAAUUGCUUCAUUCUUCUCUGCCAAUAUAAGACAUCACCUUAUCAAGGUUAAUUUACCAGAUUUGGGGUCUCAAUCUAAAUAAAGAGUUUCAAAAAACAAUAUAAUUACAAAUUUUAGAAAAGACACAAUGGACUCCUAUCCAGGUAUGUGUUAAAAUACUCAUGGGGCGCCUGGGUGCUCAGAUGGUUGAGCAUCGGACUUUGACUCAGGUCAUGAUCUCACGGUCUGAGUUCGAGCACCGUGCUGACAGCUCAGAACCUGGAGCCUGCUUCAGAUUCCGUGUCUCCCUCUCUCUCUGCCCCUCCCCUGCCCGUGCUCUGUCUCUCUGGCUCUCAAAAAUAAAUAAACAUAGACAAAGUUUUGUAAAGAAUACUCAUAAUAAAUUAGUAAUUUUAAUAUUCCACCUUGAACUUCUGAAAGAAUUAAUAUAGUCCACAGAAUAAAUAUGAGGAUGCUAUCCGUGUGCUCUCUCUGCACAUGUAGCCCCAAAUGGUUCUCCCAGUCAUUAUCAGCUCCAUGCCACUUCUUUGAAAAGAAUACGAAGUUUUAAUUUUUCUAACAUUCUUACCCCAAGAGAGUACUAAAAAAAUAAGGGGUCAGCAAUUGUCCAGUUUCUGAUUAUUCCAUUAAUUCCAUUAGAUACAAUAUAAAUGAAAAAAUAUAAAAAUGUGUUAUGUAUAAUUUUGUUUUAGGGUGUGUACGUAUAUAUGUAUGUGUAUAGUGUAUUUGGGCUUACAGAGUAUAUAGCUAAGAUGUCAGGAUUGCAUCUAUCUGUAUUUUCCAUCUCACUGCUGUUCUGUGCUGGGAGCAUGAAAUAAUCAAAAACCAGAUAGCCAACGCUUUUGAAUUUUUUGGAAUCCCCUUGGAGUAAAAGCAUUGGAGAAAUUAAAAUAGAAUUUACUUUAGCAUGUGUAUAAAUAAUACAUUCAUGUAUGUGACAUACAUGAACAAAUACAUAUAUACAUAUACAUGUACACACACUCAUGGUAUAAUUAUUUUAGUUGCACGCAGUAUUAAGUUUCAGUUGCUUGGAGACAAAUAUGAAUAAUUGUAUUUGGCCAAAUACAAAUGUAUUAACACUUGCAGGAUACCUUAACGUUCUAUUACUUUAUUUUCAAGAUGUGAGUUUAACAUGUUGGUGGUGGAAUUAAAUUAAAAAGCUACAGAACAAUCACAUUAAUAUCAAGAAUUGUUUUUUAAUUUUGUUUAAUGUUUACUUAUUUUUGAGAUGAAGAGAGAGACAGAGUGUGAGAAGGGGAGGGGCAGAGAGAGAGGGAGACUCAGAAUCCAAAGCAGGCUCCAGGCUCUGAGCUGUCAGCACAGAGCCCGACGCGGGUCUUGAACUCAGGAACAAUGAGAUGGUGACCUGAGCCAAGUCGGACUCUUAACCAACUGAGCCACCCAGGUGCCCCAAGAAUUAAUUUUAAAAAUCCAGUGUUACAUUUAUACAAUGCUACCCCUCAAAUUUGAGUGCAAUAAUUUUUUAUAGUUCCAUGUUCUCAAAAUACAUUCACAAGAACCAACUAGUAAAAAACACUAGUAUGUUUGGAUUAGAACAUGUUUUAGGUACAACUCCAUAUUCACAUCAUAUGCACGUAUUUCUAAUAUUAAUUGGGGUGUACUUCAUAUUUGUUUUUCUCAUACAUAAAUGCAGGAACUUUCAAAAGUUACCAUUAUUGAACAUUUUUGUGCAACACCCGAAUAUUUGCAUGAAAAGUCCAUGCCUAUAUUCUCAAUUGUUUGUUCUGUAUUAUUUUCACAAUUAAAGCAGAUGUGAUAUAAAGUUUUAUUUUUUUUUUUAAUGUUUAUUCUGAGAGAGCAUGCACGCAUGAGUGGGGGAGGGGCAGAGAGAGAAAGAGAAUCUCAAGCAGGUUCCACGCUGAGCACAGAGCCCUACACAGGGCCCCAUCUCACAAACUGUGAGAUCAUGAUCUGAGCCCAAAUCAAGAGUCAGAUACUUAACCAACUGAGCCACCCAGGCACCCCAAAAAUCAUUUAAAAAAAAUUAAAACACUCAAAAAACACUGGUGGAUAUUUUUCUUCAUUCUAAGCAUCUCAGGAAAUCUCUGGGAAUUAUUUUGUCUCUUAUGUUUUGUUCCAGUGCAUUAAAAUUUUUCUUUUAAAGUCACCACUAGUAUAAAAAUUCAGAAAUCUGAAAUUGUAAGUCAUCUAGCAAAGGUAUUAUAAUAUGGUUUCCAAAAAGAUGUCUGAAGCUAUUCAACUUUGAAUGUGAGGUCUCAGGCAAAGAUUCAGACUAGCUUCUCUUUUCACCCAUCUCAAGGCCAUCGCCUUUGAGAGACUUCUCAUGGCUGGUCAGUCAUUUAUUUCUUGGCAUAUUCCAAAUUAAUCAUAUUAAAUUGUCUCUAUAUUUUCAUAGGCAAUUUGAACAGAUGGGAAAUUUUGCCUCAAGUGAUCAAUCGGCAGAAUAGUAUUUUUUUUUCUGUCCUUGAGUGACAAGCUUAUAAAUAUACAAGAAGUACGUCCACAACUUCUAUGUUACUUUAUCUUUGACUUUUUGUUUUUAUUUUUUUAUUAUUUAAAAAAAAAGGUUUUUCUUUUCACAUUUAUGUUUGAGAGACAAAGAGAGACAGAGCAUGAGCGGGGGAGGGGCAGAGAGAGAGGGCGACACAGAAUCCGAAGCGGGCUCCGGGCUCUGAGCUGUCGGCACAGAGCCCGACGCGGGGCUGCAACCCACGAAUCCCAAGAUCGUGACCUGAGCCGAAGUCGGACCCUCAACCGCCUGAGUCAGCCAGGCGCCCCUCAAAGUCCACAGUUUACAUCAGUUUCACUCUCAGUGGAUAAUGGUAUGUAUCCAUCAUUAUGGCACACAGUGUUUUCACUGCCCUCAAAAUCCUCUGUGCUCCCUCCACAUACUCAUCCCUUCCCUCCCCUCAGCCCCUGGAAACCAGUGAUCAUUUUACUAUCUUUAUAAUUUUACCUUUUCCGUAACGCUGUAUUGGCUUCUUUCACUCCGUAAUAUGCAUUUUAGGUCCCUGCACGUCUUUUCCCGGCUCGUCAGCUCAUUUCCUUUUAGCGCUGAGUGAUAGCGUUGUCUGGCUGCACCAGUUUGCUCAUCCAGUCACUUACCAAAGGACGUCUCGGUUGCUUCCGAGUUUUGCCAGUUCUGAAGAAAGCUGCUGCUACAUGCGCCUGAGUGCAGGUUUUGUGUGACACGUUUUCAACUCCUUUGGGUAAAUACCAAAGAAGGCGAUUGCAGGAUUAUGUGGAAAGCGUAUGUAUGGUUUUGUAAGACUUGACCAAACUCUCUUCCGGGAUGGAAGACCCUUUUCCAUUUUGCACUCCCACCAGCAGCGACCGACGGUUCACCUUGCUCCACGUCCUUGUCAGCAUUUGGUGUUCUCAGCGUUCCAGAUUUUGACCUUUCUAAUUGCUGUGCGGUGGUGUUAUCUUUGCCUUUUAUUUUUUUAAGUUUUUAUUUCUUUUUUUGCCGGAGUCCAGCUCCGGCAGGUCCAGGGGUUCCCGAAGGAUGAACGGCGUCGGCGAAAAAGUGAAAAUAAAACUAAAAUAGAAAUAAAAAUAAAAAACUAAAAUAAAAAUGGACACAGACAACA